GUGACUUCGGCCAUCGCUCUGGUAGUCCCGGUAGCUGACGAACUCCUGCCAAGGGCAGCGGUAGCCCUUGGAGAUGGCGGUGUGGUUGAACUUCUCUGGCGGGACGCCCUUCAGCGGCUCCGCAUAGCCUAGGGGCGCGGGGGGAAGGGAGCGCCUCCGUUCUUCCACCCUCAGCCCCCAACCCCACCUCGCCCCACCCCCAUUCCGCGGACGCGGUUGGAGGAGGGAAGAUCGGAGUUAGGGGAGAGGACGGCGGGAAUGGGAAGCCACAGUUGCUCCAGCACAGGAGACCCCUCCCCAUCCCAGGAAACACGGAGGACUGCAGUGAGGAAGCCACGAGUUCGCAGCGCGGGGAGAGAUGCCUAAAAAGAUAACACUUUUCAAGGAUCACACUGAAAGGCAGGAGCCUAAUCUGAUGGGAACAUCACAGUCCUCAGCCUGGCUUACCGUUUGACUUUAGGCUAACCAGUGGCUCUCUGUGGUCCUCAUUUUCCCCAUGAGCACAAUGGUGGCUUACUCACCGCCCGCUGGCUGGCUGCUAACUCGAAAGUGAACUUCUGCACACGGCGCUGCCUCUUCUGGAAGAGGAGGGACCCUCUGUUGUUGCGUAGUGACAGCUCCUCCAUCAUCAGGUCCUGGGGCACGCUCAGCUUCUUGCCCAGGUCCAGCGUAGGGACUGCCAGGAAAGGCCAGAGCGGGCUCUCACCACCCCAUCCCCCAUACACUCCAGGCCCCACCUCUCGAAGCAUGGCAUGCUGUGUGUAAGAAUGCCUGUUUCUCACCAAGCUUGCCGACACCGGGUGUCAUGAUUGUUUGAAAUCUUUGCCCACCUGAUGGGCAAAAAUGACACCUCAGAGUUUAAUUUGCAUGUGUUUGUUGCUCAGUGAAGUUUAGCACUGUUUCCGAAGUUCUUUGGCCAUUUGUGUUUAUUGCAUGAAUUCCCCAUGCAGGUCUUUGCCCAUAAUGGUGGAGGUAGUGAGAAAUGGUCAGAUUCUCGAUAUUUUUUAAAGCAGUUUCUAUGGAGUGUUUGGGUGUGAAAGCCUAACUGGAGAGGGUUCAAGAGAAAAUGGACAGAAGAACAAGUUUAACCACACCAUGAGGAAGCGAUAAGCCAAAUCCAGGACGCAGGACAUUCUACAGGACAACUGGCCUGGUUUUUCAAACAAACGAGUUUCACUCUUGUUGCCCAGGCUGGAGUGCAAUGGCAUGAUCUCGGCUCACUGCAACCUCUGCCUCCCGGGUUCAAGCGAUUCUCCUGCCUCAGCCUCCCGAGUAGCUGGAAUUGCAGGCAUGCACCAUCACGCCUGGCUAAUUUUGUAUUUAUAGUAGAGAUGGGGUUUCUCCAUGUUGGUCAGGCUGGUCUCGAGCUCCCAACCUCAGGUCAUCCGCUUGCCUCAGUCUCCCAAAGUGCUGGGAUUACAGGCGUGAGCCACCUCCCCCAGCUGAGCUCAAUAUUUAAAAAAAAAAAAUGGCAGGCACAGUGGCUCACAACUAUAAUCCCAGCACUUGCAGAGGGCAAAGUGGGUGGAUUGCUUGGGCCCAGGAGUUCAAGACCAGCCUGGGCAAUAUAGCAAGACCCUGUCUCUAUUAAAAAAUAAAAAAAGAUAAAAUCUAUUUGACUGAGUAUUUCUAUUUCUAGGAAUUUAUUCUCGGGGAAAAAGUUGAAUAAAUAUGUCCAAAGAUACAUGUAUAAGAAUGUUUAUUGCAGUGGGGUUUAAAAUUGUGAAAACUGGGACUCAGUCUCGUGGUGGAUGCUGCCAGAUGCCCCUUAUUAGUGGCUAAGAGUUCACACCACCACCUUCUACAGAGAACUGCCAGUGGAAUGGAUGCUCCACAGCGCCCUUGCCUCAGGUGGGAUGAAUUCUGUGGAGCAAUUCAUGCUCGAGAGCUCCCCGCGGGGUCACACUGAACUGGACAGCCGCUGAGCCCACAUCCUCGCUCAGCAGUACCCCACCCUAGGCUGCAUUCCUCCUUCCCUUCCGAGAGCACGUUCUCAAUAAGUCACUUGCACAAGGCUCCUCUGUUCUGCCCCGAAGGAUCUCACCCCAGACAACCCUCAUCAGGGGAUGGUUAAACACACAUGACGUGUCCAAACAGCAGAAAGCUGGUAAGCACGGGGAAGGAAGGCGUGAGAUAAAUCAUACUAGGAUGGAAUGCUGCUAAAUGAAAAAAAAAAAAAGCCAAAGAACAUAGCAUAUAGUAUUUAGCCCAUGUGUAUGUAUGUUUAUAUAAAGACAUUCAUAUAUGAACAGAACAAGAAUUUACAUAAAUAUGUUAACAGUGGUUAUCUCCAGAUGGUUCCAUUAUGAUGAACUUUCAAAGCCGUUCAUGUCUGUUUUGUCUGAAUUAAACAAAUUUUUUUAAUGUAUGCCAAGUCAAUGGCAAGUGAAUUUUUUUUUUAAAAAGUGAUGUAUUAUCAUUGUAACCAUGUAAUAAAGAAACAGCUCUGAAGACAAAGAGACCUGGAGUCAAAUUGCA
rnacentral:lncRNA from 10 species